UGCAGUCGAGGGGCAGCGCAGGGUAGCAAUACCGGGCGGCGACCGGCGCACGGGUGAGUAACGCGUAUGCAACUUACCUAUCAGAGGGGGAUAACCCGGCGAAAGUCGGACUAAUACCGCAUGAAGCAGGGGCCCCGCAUGGGGAUAUUUGCUAAAGAUUCAUCGCUGAUAGAUAGGCAUGCGUUCCAUUAGGCAGUUGGCGGGGUAACGGCCCACCAAACCGACGAUGGAUAGGGGUUCUGAGAGGAAGGUCCCCCACAUUGGUACUGAGACACGGACCAAACUCCUACGGGAGGCAGCAGUGAGGAAUAUUGGUCAAUGGGCGUAAGCCUGAACCAGCCAAGUCGCGUGAGGGAUGAAGGUUCUAUGGAUCGUAAACCUCUUUUAUAAGGGAAUAAAGUGCGGGACGUGUCCCGUUUUGUAUGUACCUUAUGAAUAAGGAUCGGCUAACUCCGUGCCAGCAGCCGCGGUAAUACGGAGGAUCCGAGCGUUAUCCGGAUUUAUUGGGUUUAAAGGGUGCGUAGGCGGCCUUUUAAGUCAGCGGUGAAAGUCUGUGGCUCAACCAUAGAAUUGCCGUUGAAACUGGGAGGCUUGAGUAUGUUUGAGGCAGGCGGAAUGCGUGGUGUAGCGGUGAAAUGCUUAGAUAUCACGCAGAACCCCGAUUGCGAAGGCAGCCUGCCAAGCCAUGACUGACGCUGAUGCACGAAAGCGUGGGGAUCAAACAGGAUUAGAUACCCUGGUAGUCCACGCAGUAAACGAUGAUCACUAGCUGUUUGCGAUACAGUGUAAGCGGCACAGCGAAAGCGUUAAGUGAUCCACCUGGGGAGUACGCCGGCAACGGUGAAACUCAAAGGAAUUGACGGGGGCCCGCACAAGCGGAGGAACAUGUGGUUUAAUUCGAUGAUACGCGAGGAACCUUACCCGGGUUUGAACGCAUUCGGACCGAGGUGGAAACACCUUUUCUAGCAAUAGCCGUUUGCGAGGUGCUGCAUGGUUGUCGUCAGCUCGUGCCGUGAGGUGUCGGCUUAAGUGCCAUAACGAGCGCAACCCUUGCCACUAGUUACUAACAGGUAAAGCUGAGGACUCUGGUGGGACUGCCAGCGUAAGCUGCGAGGAAGGCGGGGAUGACGUCAAAUCAGCACGGCCCUUACAUCCGGGGCGACACACGUGUUACAAUGGCGUGGACAAAGGGAUGCCACCUGGCGACAGGGAGCGAAUCCCCAAACCACGUCUCAGUUCGGAUCGGAGUCUGCAACCCGACUCCGUGAAGCUGGAUUCGCUAGUAAUCGCGCAUCAGCCAUGGCGCGGUGAAUACGUUCCCGGGCCUUGUACACACCGCCCGUCAAGCCAUGGGAGCCGGGGGUACCUGAAGUCCGUAACCGAAAGGAUCG
rnacentral:rRNA from 1 species